GAUGGAACGCUGGCGGCGUGCUUAACACAUGCAAGUCGAACGAAGCACCGUUGAUUGAGUUCUUCGGAUGAAGAUCUUGGUGACUGAGUGGCGGACGGGUGAGUAACGCGUGGGUAACCUGCCUCAUACAGGGGGAUAACAGUUAGAAAUGACUGCUAAUACCGCAUAAGACCACAGCACCGCAUGGUGCAGGGGCAAAAACUCCGGUGGUAUGAGAUGGACCCGCGUCUGAUUAGGUAGUUGGUGGGGUAACGGCCUACCAAGCCGACGAUCAGUAGCCGACCUGAGAGGGUGACCGGCCACAUUGGGACUGAGACACGGCCCAA
rnacentral:rRNA from 1 species